GCUAUACUGCAGUCGAGCGGACCUCUUCGGAGGUUAGCGGCGGACGGGUGAGUAACACGUGGGCAACCUGCCUGUAAGACUGGGAUAACUCCGGGAAACCGGAGCUAAUACCGGAUAGUAUCUUGAACCGCAUGGUUCAAGUUGGAAAGACGGUUUCGGCUGUCACUUACAGAUGGGCCCGCGGCGCAUUAGCUAGUUGGUGAGGUAAUGGCUCACCAAGGCAACGAUGCGUAGCCGACCUGAGAGGGUGAUCGGCCACACUGGGACUGAGACACGGCCCAGACUCCUACGGGAGGCAGCAGUAGGGAAUCUUCCGCAAUGGACGAAAGUCUGACGGAGCAACGCCGCGUGAGUGAUGAAGGUUUUCGGAUCGUAAAACUCUGUUGUUAGGGAAGAACAAGUGCGAGAGUAACUGCUCGCACCUUGACGGUACCUAACCAGAAAGCCACGGCUAACUACGUGCCAGCAGCCGCGGUAAUACGUAGGUGGCAAGCGUUGUCCGGAAUUAUUGGGCGUAAAGCGCGCGCAGGCGGUUUCUUAAGUCUGAUGUGAAAGCCCCCGGCUCAACCGGGGAGGGUCAUUGGAAACUGGGAAACUUGAGUGCAGAAGAGGAGAGUGGAAUUCCACGUGUAGCGGUGAAAUGCGUAGAGAUGUGGAGGAACACCAGUGGCGAAGGCGACUCUCUGGUCUGUAACUGACGCUGAGGCGCGAAAGCGUGGGGAGCGAACAGGAUUAGAUACCCUGGUAGUCCACGCCGUAAACGAUGAGUGCUAAGUGUUAGAGGGUUUCCGCCCUUUAGUGCUGCAGCUAACGCAUUAAGCACUCCGCCUGGGGAGUACGGUCGCAAGACUGAAACUCAAAGGAAUUGACGGGGGCCCGCACAAGCGGUGGAAC
rnacentral:rRNA from 1 species